rnacentral:rRNA from 1 species
GACGAACGCUGGCGGCGUGCCUAAUACAUGCAAGUAGAACGCUGAAGGAGGAGCUUGCUUCUCCGGAUGAGUUGCGAACGGGUGAGUAACGCGUAGGUAACCUGCCUGGUAGCGGGGGAUAACUAUUGGAAACGAUAGCUAAUACCGCAUAAGAGUAGAUGUUGCAUGACAUUUGCUUAAAAGGUGCAAUUGCAUCACUACCAGAUGGACCUGCGUUGUAUUAGCUAGUUGGUGGGGUAACGGCUCACCAAGGCGACGAUACAUAGCCGACCUGAGAGGGUGAUCGGCCACACUGGGACUGAGACACGGCCCGGACUCCUACGGGAGGCAGCAGUAGGGAAUCUUCGGCAAUGGACGGAAGUCUGACCGAGCAACGCCGCGUGAGUGAAGAAGGUUUUCGGAUCGUAAAGCUCUGUUGUAAGAGAAGAACGAGUGUGAGAGUGGAAAGUUCA